rnacentral:snoRNA from 1 species
GGCAUUAUAUGGUAUCUGCACUCAACAGUUUAUUCUUGCUGGUGUGUUCAUAGGACAAUGCAAUAGAAAUUCAGUAUCUAGCAUUGUUAGUUUUCUUGGCUUUGUGCUUGUUAAACUUGGUAUUUCUAUUGAUACAGUA